rnacentral:rRNA from 30 species
AACUUUCAGCAACGGAUCUCUUGGCUCUCGCAUCGAUGAAGAACGCAGCGAAAUGCGAUAAGUAAUGUGAAUUGCAGAAUUCAGUGAAUCAUCGAAUCUUUGAACGCACCUUGCGCUCCUUGGUAUUCCGAGGAGCAUGCCUGUUUGAGUGUC